rnacentral:rRNA from 1 species
CUAUACUGCAAGUCGAGCGAACUGACGAGGAGCUUGCUCCUUUGACGUUAGCGGCGGACGGGUGAGUAACACGUGGGUAACCUACCUAUAAGACUGGAAUAACUCCGGGAAACCGGGGCUAAUGCCGGAUAACAUAUCGAACCGCAUGGUUCGAUAGUGAAAGACGGUCUUGCUGUCACUUAUAGAUGGACCCGCGCCGUAUUAGCUAGUUGGUGAGGUAACGGCUCACCAAGGCAGCGAUACGUAGCCGACCUGAGAGGGUGAUCGGCCACACUGGAACUGAGACACGGUCCAGACUCCUACGGGAGGCAGCGGUAGGGAAUCUUCCGCAAUGGGCGAAAGCCUGACGGAGCAACGCCGCGUGAGUGAUGAAGGUCUUCGGAUCGUAAAGCUCUGUUGUUAGGGAAGAACAAAUGUGUAAGUAACUGUGCACAUCUUGACGGUACCUAACCAGAAAGCCACGGCUAACUACGUGCCAGCAGCCGCGGUAAUACGUAGGUGGCAAGCGUUAUCCGGAAUUAUUGCGCGUAUGGCGCGCGUAGGCGGAUUUUUAAGUCUGAUGUGAAAGCCCACGGCUCAACCGUGGAGGGUCAUUGUAAACUGGAAAACUUGAGUGCAGAAGAUGAUAGUGUAAAUUCCAUGUGUAGC